UGAGACACGGACCAAACUUAUACGGGAGGCAGCAGUGAGGAAUAUUGGUCAAUGGACGCAAGUCUGAACCAGCCAUGCCGCGUGCAGGAAGACGGCUCUAUGAGUUGUAAACUGCUUUUGUACGAGGGUAAACGCAGAUACGUGUAUCUGUCUGAAAGUAUCGUACGAAUAAGGAUCGGCUAACUCCGUGCCAGCAGCCGCGGUAAUACGGAGGAUUCAAGCGUUAUCCGGAUUUAUUGGGUUUAAAGGGUGCGUAGGCGGUCGGAUAAGUUAGAGGUGAAAUCCCGAGGCUCAACUUCGGAAUUGCCUCUGAUACUGUUCGGCUAGAGAGUAGUUGCGGUAGGCGGAAUGUAUGGUGUAGCGGUGAAAUGCUUAGAGAUCAUACAGAACACCGAUUGCGAAGGCAGCUUACCAAGCUACUUCUGACGUUGAGGCACGAAAGCGUGGGGAGCAAACAGGAUUAGAUACCCUGGUAGUCCACGCAGUAAACGAUGAUAACUCGUUGUCGGCGA
rnacentral:rRNA from 1 species